rnacentral:lncRNA from 1 species
CUGGAUGCUCAAGAGCAGAGGAUCUAUCAACAGCAGACCAAGCAGAGGGAGAGGCAGGCAGACCUGGAACAGAAAUGCAGCCAGAGCAGCAGCUCAGCCAGGACCUGAAGCUUGUUCCAGGAGGAGACAGCGCAAUUUGGUGAUUGACUCCUGGAGUCUGGUUGGUGCAUCCAUGCUGGGGUAUGGAGGCCACAGAUCCCGUGGUGCUUCCCAGAACUCUCUGCCAGCCUCAGCCACCUGCAGCUCAAGGGCUCCAGAAGCAGAAACAGGGUCUCGAAUUCCAUUAAACACAGCCCCAAGCCCUAAUUUCUGAGGCAAAACAGAGCUACAGCAGCUGAGACUACAGUGAGAUCUUGUGAGAAGGAUGGUACAAAUGCUCCAGACCUUCAGCAAGGUUAGGACCACCUGGCUGUGUCAUACCUUGGAGGCUGGGGACAGCUGCUAAAGAUCUGAAAAAAAGAAGUUAUAUAAGGUCAGCAGACCUGGCCUCUUUGAGGAAGAUCU